rnacentral:rRNA from 1 species
ACGGAAGGCAGCAGUAGGGAAUCUUCGGCAAUGGGGGCAACCCUGAUCGAGCAACGCCGCGGGAGUGAAGAAGGUUUUCGGAUCGUAAAGCGCUGUUGUAAGAGAAGAACGUGUGUGAGAGUGGAAAGUUCACACAGUGACGGUAACUUACCAGAAAGGGACGGCUAACUACGUGCCAGCAGCCGCGGUAAUACGUAGGUCCCGAGCGUUGUCCGGAUUUAUUGGGCGUAAAGCGAGCGCAGGCGGUUUAAUAAGUCUGAAGUUAAAGGCAGUGGCUUAACCAUUGUUCGCUUUGGAAACUGUUAGACUUGAGUGCAGAAGGGGAGAGUGGAAUUCCAUGUGUAGCGGUGAAAUGCGUAGAUAUAUGGAGGAACACCGGUGGCGAAAGCGGCUCUCUGGUCUGUAACUGACGCUGAGGCUCGAAAGCGUGGGGAGCAAACAGGAUUAGAUACCCUGGUA